rnacentral:rRNA from 1 species
AUAUCAAUAAGCGGAGGAAAAGAAACCAACAGGGAUUGCCCUAGUAACGGCGAGUGAAGCGGCAACAGCUCAAAUUUGAAAUCUGGCCCCCGGGUCCGAGUUGUAAUUUGUAGAGGAUGCUUUUGGUGCGGUACCUUCCGAGUUCCCUGGAACGGGACGCCAUAGAGGGUGAGAGCCCCGUCUGGUUGGACGCCAAUCCUUUGUAAAGCUCCUUCAACGAGUCGAGUAGUUUGGGAAUGCUGCUCUAAAUGGGAGGUAUAUGUCUUCUAAAGCUAAAUAUUGGCCAGAGACCGAUAGCGCACAAGUAGAGUGAUCGAAAGAUGAAAAGCACUUUGAAAAGAGAGUUAAAAAGUACGUGAAAUUGUUGAAAGGGAAGCGCUCAUGACCAGACUUGGGCUCGGUUGAUCAUCCAGGGUUCUCCCUGGUGCACUCUCCCGGCCCAGGCCAGCAUCAGUUCGCCGCGGGGGACAAAGGCGUCGGGAAUGUGGCUCCCUCGGGAGUGUUAUAGCCCGUCGUGCAAUACCCUGUGGUGGACUGAGGUUCGCGCAUUCGCAAGGAUGCUGGCGUAAUGGUCAUCAGCGACCCGUCUUGAAACACGGACCAAGGAGUCGUCUUCGUAUGCGAGUGUUCGGGUGUCAAACCCCUACGCGUAAUGAAAGUGAACGCAGGUGAGAGCUUCGGCGCAUCAUCGACCGAUCCUGAUGUUCUCGGAUGGAUUUGAGUAAGAGCAUACGGGGCCGGACCCGAAAGAAGGUGAACUAUGCCUGUAUAGGGUGAAGCCAGAGGAAACUCUGGUGGAGGCUCGCAGCGGUUCUGACGUGCAAAUCGAUCGUCAAAUAUGGGCAUGGGGGCGAAAGACUAAUCGAACCUUCUAGUAGCUGGUUUCCGCC